rnacentral:siRNA from 1 species
UAGCGUCCGAUGCGAUCUCCG